CAAGAACUGCAUCAAAUAUUUACAAGUUACCAUUACAGUGUGUCGUGGCUCUACUAUUUCUGAUGUUCCUUUUCCCGAAAUUCGAGGAUUCCUUUCACAGCAUUUGUCAAUUGUUAUAACCAAGUUGAGAUAUUCUACCAGUAAAGUAGGCCAUUCAUUUGGUUUCUAUUGUACACUAGAGGAUCAUGCUACAAGUGAUCCUCAUAUAGCCCAGUGCAUAAGUAAUGUACAGAAUCCACACAUAAAGUGUAGUGUCAGUCCUUCUCCAAUGACAGCAUCACUCACUCCAGAGCAAGCCAUCUGGUUCAAAGAUGAUUAUAAUUCUAAAAGAACAACCUUUGAUAUAACACAUCUCUCUAUGGUACUUCAGUUUCUAACUGAUAAUCAUUAUGAUGCUACUGCUUGGCGAAGGUUAGGACUAGCACUGGGAAUCUAUCAACUAACACUUA